rnacentral:lncRNA from 1 species
AAAUAAUUGAAAAAAUGCAAUUAGAAUUUAACAAACAUUAGCUAGGUUAUAAUCAUCUAUGCUUUUUCUUAGAUUAUGCUGAUGUUAUAUUCUAUGAAAAUAAUCCUAAUUGUAUUUUCAGUUUAUUAUAUUAUGGACUUUCAUUAACAAAAGCUAUAAUUAAUAUUCAUUUUCAUUUUUUUCCCUUCAUUUAUAUAUGAUACUAUGUCCAUAUUUUGCUAUAAACAGUGUAUUCAUUUUUUUGUAGAUUUUUGACUUGAAUUUUAAUGAGGAAUAAUAAAUAUCUAGGAGUUAUCAUUCUUUGAGAUAUUUUAGCUAGUUAUCAGUUAGUGAAUAUUUAAUUGUAAAGUUUUGCUUAAUAGUAAACAACACUAUUCUUAACUAAAAUACAUUAUGUAAUUAAUAAAAAACCUACUCAGCUAUUCAUAAACAAUAACAUAUUUAAAUGAAAUAUGCUAUGUGCUGAAAUAAGAUUCCUUUGGAAAAAUAUUAUUGUGCAUAAAUAUAUAUAUAAUAGAAAAGUUUAUAGAUGUAAUGUAAAAGUCUUUUUUUUUUCUUAUAUUUUAGCACAUAUAUUUUCAUAAAAUUUUAAAAAGUACAGGUAGUCCUUGAUGUACAUAUGAUUCUCUUUAAACCUUGUGAUUAUAAGUCAAAGCAAUCGGAAGUCAGAAAUGUCCAAAGUUUACAGAUUUCCUACUGCCAAUAUUUAUUAUUAUAGUCCACUUUAUCUUAAUAAACUUAAUGAAUGUAAAAUACAAAAACUAGACACAAAAAAGGAUGUUUUUUUUUUACAUCAAAUCAUUGCAUGUGGACUCGUACACAAUAUGAAUUGCAUUGAGCAAUCAGAGAAUUUAUCGAUUACAUCACUGUCAUAAAUAUGAGUAGUCAUAAGUCAAGGACUACCUGAGUAAUUAUUAUUUUAACAAAAAAAAUAAGUAUAUAAAUUUGGAUAAAAGUACUGUACAUAAAAGCUGAAAGAAGAAGAAAAAUUUAGGAAAGUAAUAAAAAAAAAUUAUGACAAUUUUUAGCCAUCUAUUCAAUGAAAACAUUGACUCAGUUUUCUUUGGUUAAAUGUUUUAAGUUUUGAUGAAAUGAACUAAUGUAAUUUUUUUAAUAAAUUUGAAUUAUUAUGAAUUAUCUAAUACUUUAAUUAAAAAAGUCAUUUUUAAUACUAUAAUUUUUCAUAAAAAUCAUAAUAAUUAAAGUUAUUAGUUUUGUAAAUUAAGUUGUUCAAUAUUUUCCUAGAAAAAUUAAGUUAAAAUCAGUUAUUGGUAUGAUGAUUAUUAAAUAAAUGAAUAUUAAAAAAUAAGAAUAAUAA